rnacentral:rRNA from 1 species
CAGUAGCCGCGGGAAUACGAAGGGGGCUAGCGUUGCUCGGAAUGACUGGGCGUAAAGGGCGCGUAGGCGGCGAUCAAAGUCAGGCGUGAAAUUCCUGGGCUCAACCUGGGGGCUGCGUUUGAUACUUGAUUGCUAGAGUGGGGAAGAGGGUCGUGGAAUUCCCAGUGUAGAGGUGAAAUUCGUAGAUAUUGGGAAGAACACCGGUGGCGAAGGCGGCGACCUGGUCCUUGACUGACGCUGAGGCGCGAAAGCGUGGAGAGCAAACAGGAUUAGAUACCCGCGUAGUCCCUGUCUCUUAUAC